AUCUGAUCCCAACGACUUUUUCUUUUCUCUUUUCUUUUGGCCACUAUGCUACAUGCCAAUCCACUUGUAGAGUUUGUUGGAAAUAGUAUAAAAGGUAAAACAUGAAUUAAGAGGGAAACUUUAUGUGACGCCAGGCAAGAUAAAGAGUGGACUGGAAUGGCUGAGAAGGGAAGAGUUCCUUAGUGUAUCACUUGAAGAAGCUCAGGGGUCUAAAGGUCAGACAUCCUGAGAACUCGUGUCUGUUGUGAGAAGUACAGAGAGAAGUAAGAGGAAGUCUCGUGCGCUCACUGCCUGCCUUCUUCUCAUCUAACUGGAGACACUGCCAGCAAUCACUCUGGCUUUUCCUUGGCGAGUUCCUCCGGAAUGAUAAAUACCUUCAAAAAGUUGCCAACGUGACUGCAAAGCUGGUUAUUGGCUGGCGGGAAGGAAAAGAUAUAUCAGAUGCUGGGGUGAAACACCAAGUGUGCUUAUUGAAGCAUUGUUCUUAAUCACGGAAAGCAGGCAUGGCAGGUAAUUUUUUGAAAUAUUAAAUCGUGUUUUGCUUUUCUGGGUAUAAAAAAUUAAAAGAAAAAGAAUGAGUUGAUGUUGCAUUUUAU
rnacentral:lncRNA from 1 species